rnacentral:snRNA from 1 species
GCAUCUUCUGGCCUUUGGCUAAGAUCUGGCGUAUCUGUUCCAUCAGUUUAAUAUCUGAUACGUCCCCAUCCGAGGACAAUAUAUUAAAUGGAUUUUGGAGCAGGAGAUGGAAUAGAGCUUGUCCGUCCACCCACGCAUCGACCUGGUGUGCAGUACCUCCAGGAACGGUGCACUCUCC